CGGUCUGUGGUUUAAUCGGUAGAACUCCCGACUAUAAUGCGGUAGAACUCGGGUUCGAGCCCCGCAUAGGCAUGG